CGACGAGUGGCGGACGGGUGAGUAAUACUUAGGAAUCUGCCCAGUAGUGGGGGACAACUCGGGGAAACUCGAGCUAAUACCGCAUACGCCCUAAGGGGGAAAGCGGGGGAUCUUCGGACCUCGCGCUAUUGGAUGAGCCUAGUCGGAUUAGCUUGUAGGUAGGGUAACGGCCUACCUAGGCGACGAUCCGUAGCUGGUCUGAGAGGACGAUCAGCCACACUGGGACUGAGACACGGCCCAG
rnacentral:rRNA from 1 species